CCUACGGGGGGCAGCAGUGGGGAAUAUUGCACAAUGGGGGGAACCCUGAUGCAGCGACGCCGCGUGGGUGAAGGAGUAUUUCGGUAUGUAAAGCCCUAUCAGCAGGGAAGAACAAUGACGGUACCUGACUAAGAAGCACCGGCUAAAUACGUGCCAGCAGCCGCGGUAAUACGUAUGGUGCAAGCGUUAUCCGGAUUUACUGGGUGUAAAGGGAGCGCAGGCGGCGCGUUAAGCCUGGUGUGAAAGUCCGCGGCCCAACCGCGGGACUGCAUUGGGAACUGGCGCGCUGGAGUGCCGGAGGGGUAGGCGGAAUUCCUAGUGUAGCGGUGAAAUGCGUAGAUAUAUGGAAGAACACCAGUGGCGAAAGCGGCUCUCUGGUCUGUAACUGACGCUGAGGUUCGAAAGCGUGGGUAGCAAACAGGAUUAGAUACCCUAGUAGUC
rnacentral:rRNA from 1 species